GUUCCCAGGCCCACUAGGAGCCUUGAGUACCUUAUUGUGGAAUUGUUGGGGGCUUGGGAACCAACGAACAAUUCAAGUUCUGAAGGACCUUGUGUCUUCUAAGCAUCCCAACGUUAUUUUUCUCAUAGAAACUAUGGUUUUAAGAAGUCGAAUAGAGGAAGUGAGGAAAGUUUUGAAUUUUGAGGGUCUUUUCAUAGUGGAUCAAAUGGGGCAUAGUGGAGGUUUAGCUUUGUUGCGGAGGGAGCGACAAAUAGCUAGUUUGUUUGGUUUUUCGAACAUUUUUAUUGAUGUUGCUGUUAAUGUAGAUGGUUUUGCUCCUUGGAGGUUGA
rnacentral:misc_RNA from 1 species